UACGUAGGUGGCAAGCGUUGUCCGGAUUUACUGGGCGUAAAGGGCGCGCAGGCGGUUGUUUAAGUCGAAUGUGAAAGCCCCCGGCUCAACUGGGGAGGGUCAUUCGAUACUGAUCGACUUGAAGGCAGGAGAGGGAAGUGGAAUUCCGGGUGUAGUGGUGAAAUGCGUAGAUAUCCGGAGGAACACCAGUGGCGAAGGCGACUUCCUGGCCUGUUCUUGACGCUGAGGCGCGAAAGCUGGGGGAGCAAACGGGGAUUAAGAAACCCGUUGUAC
rnacentral:rRNA from 1 species